CCUACGGGUGGCAGCAGUGAGGAAUAUUGGUCAAUGGGCGAGAGCCUGAACCAGCCAAGUCGCGUGAGGGAGUACUGCCCUAUGGGUUGUAAACCUCUUUUGUCGGGGAGCAAAAGCCGGACGUGUCCGGCUGUGAGAGUACCCGAAGAAAAAGCAUCGGCUAACUCCGUGUCAGCAGACGCGGUAAUACGGAGGAUGCGAGCGUUAUCCGGUUUUAUUGGGGUUAAAGGGUGCGCAGGCGGAUUUUUAAGUCAGCGGUCAAAUCGUGGGGCUCAACCCCAUCCAGCCGUUGAAACUGGGGAUCUAGAGUGUGCGAGAGGUAUGCGGAAUGCGUGGUGUAGCGGUGAAAUGCAUAGAUAUCACGCAGAACCCCGAUUGCGAAGGCAGCAUACCGGUGCACAACUGACGCUCAGGCACGAAAGCGUGGGUAUCGAACAGGAUUAGAUACCCUAGUAGUC
rnacentral:rRNA from 1 species